rnacentral:lncRNA from 1 species
UGAUACUGGAGGGCGACUGAAAGGCUCAGACUAGCGACUGCUCUCAACUUUGCGCCCUGGCCGCCGCCGGCGCUCGCCGCGAGUGACCGCUCCCCUGCCUCCAACUUCCAGCAACUUCCAACGCCCGCUCCCCACCUGCAGUGCGCUGGCGCCAGACGGUCGCAGGGAACAAUCGUGGCGUGGAUCGCCGACGCGGGAGCCAAUCAGAGAGCGCCGGCCGCACCGCGCCCCUCCCCCCGCCGAGGAUCGGAGCGAGGGGAGCGAGCGCGGCGAGGGCGUAGCGUGAGGGCUCCUCGCGGGCGUGGUGGGACGCGUCACCGAGCCGCCCUCCAGCCACACCUGGGCCUUCCAGGCGGCGGGAGGUGGGCCUGCGUUGGACAUCUGUGGUCGCAGGGAGACCAACUCACGUGUUAA